GGGGUAUUAGUCUAAUAUAAGACAGUUGAUUUCGACUCACCUAAUUAUGGCUCAUACCCAUAAUACCCCU
rnacentral:tRNA from 2 species